GGCCAACUGGCUGCAGAGGAAGAAUAUCUUCAGGCCAGGUCUUAGUUACAUCAAGUGGAUCAAAGUCAAAUCUGUCCUCAUGAUUGGGAUCAAUUGUCUGAAUAUAAAGUUUCCACUCAGGGUAGUUGCCAGCUGCAAUGGAAUCAUAGAGAUCCUUGGUAGCAUGGCUGUGAUUAGCUCCUCCAACCUUAAUAGCUUCAUCCUCCAACAAACACUUGACUCCACACGUAGGUUUCCAAUGAAAUUUCACAUACUGUACUUUCCCCGCCUUAUUGAUAAGGGUAUAGGUGUUAACACCAGAGCCUUCCAUGUGCCUGUAAUCUUGUGGAACUCCCAGAUCAUCAAAUAGGAAGGUGAACAUGUGCAGGCUUUCUGGGUGGUGGGAGAAGAAGUCAAGGAUCCUCCAAGGCUCUUGAAUGUGCGACUUGGGGUUCGGUUUGAGAGCAUGGACCAUGUCCGGGAAUUUCAUUCCGUCACGAACAAAAAAGACAGGGAAAUUGUUUCCAACCAGGUCAAAAUUACCCUGUGUUUAAGAACAAAGUCGCCACAUGAGUACUAACAACACAGCAAAAUAAACCUGAAUAAAGUUGUAUAUAGUGAAUAAUAAUGUUACCAAGAAAUCAACCAUCUGUAUAAGCAUCUAGAUUACAGAUGGUAUGCUACAUGAGCAAUCUUUUACAGCCAGGUGACUACCCCCAUUAGUAAACGAAAAUGAAAAGGCAAAGAAAAGAAAGGAAUGAAUGCAAUCUUUCAUCAAAGUCACAAGACUGCAUAAUUUCCAACAACUAUAAUUAGUCAAAUAUGAAUUGAGUACUUCAUAUUUUGUCACCACAGCCACCUCAGCUGCCACUACAGACACCAAUACAUAUCCACUAAAUAUGCCUAUGCUAUUGAAAAUAAAAAUAAAAUUAACACAUUGAUAAUAUAAAGGUAAAAACCUCACCUCUCUGGUGUAAAACUUCACUGCAAAACCACGAGGAUCCCUCAGGGUUUCAGGGCUGCCACGCUCAUGGAUAACAGUGGAGAAACGCACAAUGACAGGUGUCUGAACACCGGGGGCUCGAAGGAAGUCAGCACAUGUAAGCUGAGAAAUAUCAUGAGUGACCUCGAAGAAUCCCUUCGCACUGGCUCCCCUAGCAUGGACAACACGCUCUGGGAUUCGUUCUCUAUCAAAGUUGGCAAGUUUCUCCACCAGAUGAUAGUCCUCAAGGAGAAUUGGGCCUGACAAAUAGACACAGAAAUUUAAUUCGGAACUGCACCGACUCAACUCACCAUAUUUAAGCAUCUAGAUUACAUGCAAAUAUAGGAUAAAAAUGAAAUUAGUUGUUAUACAUUCCAGAACAUCAAAUAAAGAUGAUUGCUGCUCAGUUGCAAAUAUUCGUAAUUUUUAUUUACAUUUAGAAGGUAGGUUUUCAGACAACCAGAUGAUCAAAAAACCCAUCUUGACAAACCAAAAGGAGGCUGGAGGAAUUAAAAGAGAACCAACAGUGCGGGAGAAUCAUUUUUCAACUAAAGUAAGCAUAAAAUUUUAAAAUAAAUGUCAAUAGGAAAAGGAUCAGCUUCAAAUACAAGAUAUAUAAGUAUAUAUACAUAUCUUAAAUCCCACAAGCGUUUCCAAAGAUUAAUCAUCCUCAACAUGGUAGUGGUGGGAAUAACAUCCAAAAAGCAGUUUACAGCUCAUAAUCACAUGAAUAUCAAAAUCUUGUUCAGAAAAGUUGAGAAAACCAUCACAAAAAUUCAAAACCCAGGUAAGCGAAGAACCAAUGAUAACAAAGAUGAAUAUAUACACACAAAUAGUGAAUAGCAUCAUAAGAUAGAUUGAACAUGAAGCGCAACUAAAAAAACAAUAAAAUAUAAAAUAUAAACUGUGUUGCAAUUGAAAAGCCAGCAUCAAUCAACGAAGAGUUGUGAUGAAUUACCUCUAGAUCCAACAGUCAAAGAAGAGUUGUUGUUCCAAACAGGAGCACCGGAGUUUGUGGUCCAGAAUGGGGAAUCAAAAGCACUUGAAGGGCGGUACUGCAACAUACACAACGAAAACGAAACAAGACCAUGAUGAGCUAAAAGAACAACAAACACAAAAUUUCGAGCUACGCUUAAAUGACCAAUCUGAUUGAUCAAGAAGAUUAAUUCAUCAAGAAAUCAAACUUAAACAAAUCAAGAGAUAUUAUAACAGGGAAAUGAGUACCUUGUAAGGAUCCAUGGAGAAAGAGGGGGAAGGAGGAGUUUGAUAAGAAGGUGAGAGAGCAGAGCAAAGCCACCCAAAGGGAGGGUCGUGUGGCAAAUGAGAAUCGAAGAGCGAAAUGUGAAAUUGGGGAAUUUAUAAACACUUGCGGGUCGUGGGCGUGGCUCGCGCUUCUGCGCAAAUUACCAAUCUCAGCAGGUUAUCUUUAUCCACACACAGAGUGGGAGGUCAAGAGAAGAGAAGACAUAUCUUUGCCAAUUUAGCGUCGCGAGUCAGAACGAUUCUCGCCAAACCUGUCAACGAAGCAUUCUUGUAUGCACAAUUGUGGCAAAACGUCCUUCACUCACUUCAAAUCUUUUACAACCAAUUUUAUGAGGAGGGAUUUUUUUACAAAAAAAAUAAAAAAUUAUACAAUUUUAUGAGGAGAUGGUAUGCAACAAAAAAACAGAGGGGAUUCAGAUUUUUUUUUUUUAAUGGAAAUUAUUGUCCAAAAACAAAAGAAACAUUGAAGAAAUUGAGAGUUCAAUUUAAAAGUAAAAGAGAUCAUUAAAAUGAGUAAAAGAGACUAGAAACACCAUAAUUGACUGUGUAAUUAUAAAAUAUAUGGAGUCGUUUUUUUAUUUUUCAAAUUUUGUGAACAUAUUAUCCCUAAAUAAUGAACACAAAAAUUGAUUUAAAUAUAAUGUUGGUGUUGAUUGCAAUUAAUAAUAGCUAACUAUAGAGAUUUGAUUGAAACAAUUAAAACAUUUCACCACGACAACAAGGUCAAGAAUGCAAGUUGUUUAUUAUUAUGAAUUGGUUUCAAGACGAACAAUUUAACAACAAAUUCCAAACCUCUAUAUUUAGGAUUCAUGCAUUUAUCUACAUUUUAUGAAACUAAGUUGCUCAAAUAAUCUAACCAUUUAACAUGACACAUCAUCAAUUUUUAACCUAAGAUUUUUUUAAAAAAAAAUUGAAGUUAAUUUUAAAGUUAACGUGCUUGAGGGGUUUUUUUUUUCAUCAUGCUUCCUCCUUGAGAAAACUGUGAAUAAAAUUAAUUAAUUGCUACUUAUCUUCAGCUUAUAUAUUGAACCCUAAAGCAUAAAGCGAACUUCAAAACUUUAAUUUUUUGGCCACACAAACUUGAGCAAAGUAUGUCUUAUCUUUUUCACAAGAUUAUUCACUCUCAUUCUAAAUUCAUCGUGAUAUGUUAAGAAAUAACAAGUUUCACGAUGAACUAAAAAAGAACUCUCAAGCACGUUAACAUUAACGUUAGCAUAAGUUUUUGGAAAGAACGAAAAAGACCUUAAUUUAAAGAUUGAUGAUAUGUCAUAUGAAUGGUUAAAUUAUUUAGUUUAAAUUUUACGAAAUAUAAAUAAAUACACGGAUUCUAAAUAUAGAAAUUUGAUAUUCAUUUGCCAUAAAUAUCACUUUAAGAGUGAAAAUCCAGAAUACUAAACUAAAAUUAUAUUUCUUCACAAAAAUUGCAUCUAAAGAUGAGGAUAAAUUGAUGUUCAUCCGGACAUUGAAAAAGCACAAUAUAUCGUGAAGAUAUUCGAUAUAUUGAAAACCUCGCCGAUAUUCAUGUAGGAAGGCUAAACGAUUUUUUUAUGGCAAAAACUUCAACAACAACAACAAAAAAAGAGGCCUGGAAAAUUAUUAUUAUCAUAAUCGUGGUGGGAAUUCAAAAUUGAAAAUAAUUGAGAACGUCAUGCAUUCAUCGUUCGUUAUCCAGGUCUUGGAGCUUUGCUAACACCUAGGCGCAACCACUUAAGGCAGUGGCGGGUAUGGGUGACGUGGUCCACUCACAAGACGCCACGACCACCAAAGUGUACCUUGAAACGCGUGCUCUUAGAAAAUAGCACAGAGAUUCUCUCUCUCAGGGGAUAUGCUUGAAAUUUAUGAACAAAACAGAAGGAAAAAUAAAAACAAACAAGAGGCUAUUUUUGGUGUUGUCUGUGUGAAAGCCGCCAAAACAGCAAAUAUGCUGAUAAGGUUAGAAUGGGCCGAGCUCAGAUUAGCCACAAAGACUGUUCCUCUCUGGGCCCACUUAUCAAUAUUUUAACAUUUUUUUUAAUGGAGCUCGACAAUGAACAAAUUUUGAAGGUAAUUACUUGAUGUUAGUUAGAGAACCUCUAUGUCUAAGGGAACUACGAGUUCAAGGAAGCUUUGAGGUAUGCUCAUGUGACCCUACUUCUUGUUCUUUAUGCAUAAACAUAUUCAAGUUGCAUGUUCAAGGCUUGCCAUCUAAUCAUUAUAUAAUAUUUUGAUCAUCUAUUAUAAAAAUAUAAAAAAAACUAUGUAACUGGGCCUUGGUGCAAUAAGAACUUAAGCAUUAGCUUCAUGUAUGUAGGAAAAGUAGCAAAUAAUUUCAAUUGUAAAAUGAAUGCUUUGGUUUCUUUUCUUGUUAAUGCCGUUUGACUGGUUGUUUUGUCUUAGUGGUUCUUUGACCUCUCUUUGGUCUUUUUAUUGAAAGUUAUGUUGAGAAACUGAAAUUAACUUAAACGUAAAAGGAUUUUUUGAGUAAACAUAUUUCACAGCAUAAGAAUACUGCAGUUUUCCUCUCUUAUAUAUAUCUGAAAAACAAAGCUUACAAAAUAACAAUCUCCACAAUAACCACUAACACACAAGUGCAGAUUUUGUGGAGUUCAACUACCUUAAGCAACGGAAGCAAAUUUGAACGUGGUGAACAGACUAAACCACAACUUCUACAUUCUAGGACUUCAGCUUGACUUGGUCUCUACAUGGCCAUGUCAGCAUUAUUUAAUUAAAAAACUAAUUAAACUUAACUAAAUAACUUUUAACACCCUCCCUUAAACUGAUUUUUACGAAAAACAGUUUAGGAUCUCUACACCAUCACAUAAUCAUCUUCCUGUUCAAUGCUUUGAAAUGAACAAACUCCCAACAUGCUUCUCAGCUUCUCAAGCGCAGGUACCAUCACAUAAUCAUCUUCCUGUUCAAUGCUUUGAAAUGAACAAACUCCCAACAUGCUUCUCAGCUUCUCAAACGCAGGUUGCUUCAAAGGCUUAGUUAAGAUGUCUGCAACCUGCUCCCCACUCUUGCAAUAUUCAAGUACAAUCUUCCCAUCACUGCACAGGUCACGCAAAAAAUGAAAACGUACAUCAAUGUGUUUACUUCUCCCAUGCAUGACUGGAUUCCUCGAUAGCUUUAUAGUUGACAUGUUGUCGCAGUAGAUGGUUGUUGGUCCCUUUUGAACAUCACCAAGCACUUCAAAUAUUUUCCUAAGCGACAUAGCUUGACAGGAGCUUGCAGCUGCUGCUACAUAUUCAGCUUCUGUUGAGGAAAGUGUCACAAUUUGUUGCUUCUUUGAGGACCACGAUAUUGCACCAGAGUUGAGCAGAAAUGUGUGACCGGAAGUGCUCUUACGAUCAUCUAUAUCACCUGCAUAGUCACUAUCUGUGUACCCAACAAAACCAGAACCAUCUUCCCUUUUAUAAAACACACCAUAAUCAAUUGUCCCCUUUACAUACCUGAGAAUUCUCUUUGCUGCAUUGAGAUGCAUUUCAGUUGGUUUUUCCAUAUAUCGGCUCACAAGACUCACUGCAUACAUGAUGUCAGGCCUCGUGUAUGUUAAAUACAUGAGACUCCCAAUUAUCUGUUUAUAGAAAGUGCUGUCAACCUCCUUUCCACCUUUGUCUUUGCAUAGCUUUAAGCCAUGUUCAGCUGGAGUUCCAAAUGGCUUGCAGUCAUCCAUCUGAAACCUGUUAAGAAUGUCCUGUGCAUAUUUUUUCUGGUAGAUGAAAUUACCAGCAGUAGUUUGAAUGACUUCCAAUCCAAGAAAAUAGUGCAUUAAUCCUAGAUCAGUCAUUUCAAACUCCAUCAUCAUAGACUUCUUGAAUUCAUCAAACAUUUUAGCAUCACUUCCAGUGAAUAUCAAGUCAUCAACAUACAAGCAUACCAUGAGUAUUUUACCUUCUUCCUCAGUCUUGACAUAAAGUGUGUGCUCAAAAGGACAUUUGUGAAAUCCAAGCUUAGCAAAGUGAGCAUCUAUGCGACUGUACCAAGCUCGAGGUGCUUGUUUCAGUCCAUAGAGUGUUUUCUUCAGUUUGAACACCUUCUCUUCUUCUCCUUUUCUCUCAUAACCAGGUGGUUGAUCAAUGUACACCUCCUCUUGCAGGUUUCCAUGCAGGAAUGCUGACUUCACGUCUAACUGAAAAAUUUGCCAGGAAUUUUGAGCUGCAAGAGAGAUCACUAACCUAAUCGUGUCGUGCCUCGCAACUGGGGCAAACACCUCUUUGUAAUCAAUGCCAUGCUUCUGCUUGUAGCCCUUAGCUACCAAACGAGCUUUGUGCUUGUCAACCUCACCUUUUUCGUUCAACUUUGUUCUAAACACCCAUUUAACACCAAUGGUUUGCUUUCCCUUUGGAAGAUCAGUUAACUCCCAGGUUUGAUUCUUCUCAAUGGACUUGAUUUCAUUGUCCAUUGCUUCCCUCCAUUUCUCCUCUUUAACAGCCUCAGUAUAUGUGAUUGGAUCACUAUCUACAAGUAAUGCAAAGUGAGCAUUUUCAUCAUCAGAACUUGAAUAACUUACAUCGUAGUCCAUCAUCCAUGCUGGCCUCUUCCUUGAGUUCUCAUCUCUCAAAUUGUAUCUCUCUUCUUCAAACUGUUGAGAUGACUGAACUUCAAGUUGAGGUGGCUGCUGGGCUUGAGUUUCAGGAGCUGCUACCUCUUCAUUGUCUAAAUCAUCAUAAACUGGAAUUUGUUGUUGAACCGAUCUGUUCUCAGACCAAUUCCACAUAGUGUCUUCAUCAAAUAUCACAUCCCUGCUUACCACUAUCUUCUUUGUAACUGGAUUGUACAGUUUGUAUGCUUUUGAGACUUCACUUACACCAAGAAAAACACAUUUUUCACUUUUGUCAUCCAACUUCUUUCUUUUCUCAUCGGGGAUGUGUGCAUAUGCUAUGCACCCAAACACCCUAAAGUGAUCAACCGCAGGCUUCAAUCCACUCCAAGCUUCUUGAGGAGUCAUAUUCUUAACAGAAAAUGUGGGACUUCUGUUUAAAAUAUGAACUGACCAUAGCACAGCUUCAGGCCAAAACUUCUUGGGAAUUCUUCCUUUGACUAGCAGACUUCGAACCAUGUUGAGAAUGGUGCGAUUUUUCCUCUCACUUACACCAUUUUGUUGUGGUGUAUAGGCAGUGGUCAACUGUCUCUUGAUGCCUUUCUCUUUGCAAAAUGCAUCAAAUUCCUUCGAACAGUACUCUCCCCCACGGUCAGUUCUUAGAGUUUUAAUCUUCUUUUCUGAUUCAUUUUCAACUAGAGCUUUGAAGCUUUUGAAUGCUUCAAAUGCCUCUGAUUUUUCCUGCAAGAAAUAUACCCAUGUCUUUCUACUAAAAUCAUCAGUAAAGGAGAUGAAAUAUUUCUUGUUACCAUUUGAGAUGGGAUUUAUUGGUCCACAUAGAUCAGAGUGAACCAUCUCCAGGAUUUAUUGAGCCCUUGCUGCCUUGCCACUUGGAAAAGAGUCUCUUUUGUGCUUCCCAGUGAUGCAUUCUUCACACAUCUUUGAUGGAGGAGUUAUAUCAGGUAAGCCAGUGACCAUCCCUUUCUGGUGAAGUGUUCUCAAGCCAUUAAAAUUCAAAUGGCCAUAUCUGUAGUGCCAUCUCCACGGGUCAUCUUCUUUGGCAAAUAAGCAAGCCUGCAGAGUCUUGAUUUUCAAAGGAAACAAUCUGUUGGAAGACAUUUUCACAACAGCAAUGGACCCUCUUUUUGGGUCGUACACUUCCCACUCUCCUUUAUAGAUUGUAAUCCUAUAGCCUUUAUCUUGUAACUGACCAGCACUCAGCAAAUUUGUCUUCAAAUCAGGAAUAUAAAAAACAUUUGAGAUAGUUUCAAUAAAGUCAUUUUUAGUUUUGAUUUGAAUAUCUCCCUUACCCAUCACUUUCACUGUUGACUUGUCACCAAAACUCACUACCGUGUGAAAGCUUUCAUCCAAAUUAAUAAAGGAAGACUUACAUCCACUCAUGUGAUUGCUGCAGCCUGUGUCCACAUACCAUGUCUCCUGAUCAGUUUUUGUCAGUGCAUGAAAAGCCAUCAAAAGUGUCUCUUCCUCCUUCUUUUUCUCCACAAAAUUUGACUUUUCUCCUUUUUCUUUUGGUAACUUCGUGUAGCACUCAUUCUUGUAGUGCCCAAAAUUUCCACAUCUAUAACACUCCACUUUUGACUUAUCAAAGUGGUACGUUCCUUUUUCUUCAAAGUCAUCAUCUCUUUUGAAAACAUGAGAUGACUUGCUGUCAUCUCUAUGUCCAGACCGUCCACCUCCUCGAUGACCUCGACCACCUCUUCCUCUAUCACGUCCACCUCUUCCACGACCUCUUCCUCCUCGAGAACUUGAGGACUCAGAAACAAUGGAAGCUUUCAGAGCUGUUUGUUCUUCACUGGCAGUGGUGCGGUUAAGUCUUUGUUCAUGCACUAACAAAGAGCUUUGUAGUUCAUCAACUCGUAACUCAGCAACGUUCUUUGCCUCUUCAAUUGAACAGACAAUGUAGUCAAAUUUUGGAGUCAAUGAUCUCAUAAUUUUCUCCACAACUUUGACUUCUUCCAUGGUGCCACCAUUGGAUCUCAUCUUGCUUGCUAUUCCCAGAGUUCUAGCAAAGAAAUCAGUGAUGGACUCUCCUGAUUUCAUUUGUAAAGUUUCGAAGUCCCUUGUUAGAGUUUGAAGCACUGCACGCUUCACCCUCUCUGACCCUGCAUAUUUCUUCUUCAAAGAAUCCCAUAUUUGUUUGGAGGUCUCCUUCUCGAGUAUCGUCUCCAAGAUAGAUCGAUCAAGUGCCUGAAAAAGGUAAUUUUUCACCCUCAAGUCCUUCAGCUUCUGUUCAGCAACCCUCUUUUGUUGUUGUUCAGUCAACACAACUCCCUCUGCUGGGGCGUCAAUUCCUGAUUCCACAAGAUUCCAAUACUCCUUUGACCUGAGAAAAUUUUCCAUCAGCAUGCUCCAAUGGUCGUAGUGACCAUCAAAUCGUGGAAUCGCUGGUUGAAUAAAACUCUCAGUGGCUUUCUCUGUUGCCAUUGUUUCUUGCUGCUGCAAGACACAAUCUUUCACCUUUUUUUCAAGUUUGUUCAGGCCCAGAAGAGCUCUGAUACCAGAUGUUGAGAAACUGAAAUUAACUUAAACGUAAAAGGAUUCUUUGAGUAAACAUAUUUCACAGCAUAAGAAUACUGCAGUUUUCCUCUCUUAUAUACAUCUGAAAAACAAAGCUUACAAAAUAACAAUCUCCACAAUAACCACUAACACACAAGUGCAGAUUUUGUGGAGUUCAACUACCUUAAGCAACGGAAGCAAAUUUGAACGUGGUGAACAGACUAAACCACAACUUCUACAUUCUAGGACUUCAGCUUGACUUGGUCUCUACAUGGCCAUGUCAGCAUUAUUUAAUUAAAAAACUAAUUAAACUUAACUAAAUAACUUUUAACAAGUUAAUCAAAUAAAAUAAAAAUAAAACAACAAUUAGAAGGGUUGCAAUUAGAUAGGCUUGCUAGGCUCCAAGAGGUGCAAGACUGUCUUUUGAUUAAAGUUCAAGCUCCCAAGUCCAAAUUUGGGGCACCAACUAGCCUAUCUCAUUGCAGGCGCUUAACACUUGAAGGGACUGGCGCAAUGAUUUACUAGUAAAAUUUGUAAUAGCUUAAGACUUCGCUAGUAUCAUUUAGUAGUUACAAAUCACUUUACUUCGCCAGUAGUGAGUCCCAAUAUCGGCUGAAUUGCUCUUUCGCCAGUAUUAGUCUGUCGGUAUAAGCUAAAAUUGUAGUAGUGUAAGCUAAUUCUUGAUUUACUGUAAUUAUUCCCUUAUCGGUUAAAACUUCAAAUCAUCAAAGAAAAUCAAAGCACUCUCUAAGAAUUUCACCCUUUAAGAGUGCAUUGAGGCAAACCUAAAAAAAUUCUUCUUCAUCAUCAUCUUGUCACGCUUCCUGAAUCCACCAUAGGAGAUUUUAGUUUGGCCCUCUGGAUGUCCUCUUUUAGGUCUUUACGCACCGCUUCUUGGGGCUUAUCACUUGAGCUCCCAAAGAUCACUCUCUUAGCUUCAGCAAAACUUCCGUCGUGAUCUCGUUUGCGUUUCCCUAGGAUCUCCAAGGCCUCCAGCUGUUUUUGCAUCUCUUUAGAAUAAGAAGUUACCAUCUUUGAUAACUUUUCAUUUUCUGCCUGCAAUAUUUGAAGCUAGCGUUGAUUCUCCUCUGCUGUUUUUUCCUCUUUUUUUUUUUUUCAAUCUUUUGAUCUCACGCCGAUAUUCAUCAACCAAAUUCUGCUCUGCCACAACUAAGCUCUCAGUACUUGCACCUCAUAAGAUUUUGCAAUGAGGCGAUGCCCCACACUUGUGAUAGUUGUCGCAUUUUGCAAGCACAGUGCCACAACAUUGCUCACUAACCGGUUGUCAUCCCCCGUUCCUAGUAUGCAUACAUCCCUGGGAGUCACCAAACUCUUCGCAACUCCAAUGGCAACCUCGUUGUCAAGGAGUAACGAGUCGCUUUUUGUCACUGGUCCUCGUGAAGAAGCAAAGUAGGGUAUCCAGACUGGUGCAACUCCUUGCCCCUAUGUCUGUGUUGGCGGAGCUAGGUUAAGAUCCAAAGAAGAUGAGAAGGGAUACGACAUUUUCUUUCUGCUUUCUUUUUCUUUCAUUUUCUCUCUUUUCUCUUUCUUCUUUCCUUUCUCUUUUCUUUCUUUCUUUUCUCUCUUCUGCGUGGUUGUAAUUCUUCUUUUUCCUUUGUUUCCUUUAAUAGAUGAACCCUAGCACCAUUGCACCGUCUAAUUUUUCCGCAUUCCUUGAGCUCCACAGCCUUCUCGCUUUCCACCGUCUACAACUUUGUCGCGACUUGUGCAACGUCGUCCCUACUAUCCAUGGCACCCAUAAUUCCGCUUGUAGAUUUGUCGUACCUCUGCGCGUCGACACAUGUCUCCUCUCUCUAGGGGUGGGCAUUGGAUUUGUGGUUCAAAUUGAUUUAGGGUUGAUUAAAAUAAAAUGGCAGCCCUAGAAACAGUGACCAGGUAUCUAUCCCAUAUGACAUAAAACAUUUAAAAACAUCCAUGGGACUAUAUUUAAAAAAUCAACUUGAUAAUGUUUAGUUGGAUUGUAUAAUGUGUUUUGUUUUGUUUUGUUGGAUUAUAAAAUGUUUAAGUUUCUGUUUUUUUGUUUAUUUAUAAAAUCAUCCAUGGGACUUCAUUUUCGGUUCAAGGUUCCAUUUUUUUAAGAAACCAGUCCAAAUCGGACCAUGCCCACCCCUACCUCUCUGUCUCUUUUUUUGCUUUGUUUUCCUUCUCUCUCUCUCUCUCUCUCUCUCUCUCUCUCUCUCUCUCUCUCUCUCUCUCUCUUCCUUAUAUAUUCUCUCCUCUCUCUGUUUUUUUAUUUAAAUUUUUUCAAUUGUGAGUUUUGUAACAUGCAUGUUAUUUUAUUUAUGAACCCAUUACACGACUCCAAACUCACACAAAAAAAGACGACCCGAACCCAAGAAGACAUGUUUAUUAAAUGGGUUAGAUUCGGGUUGAGCAUUCUUGACACGUUUGUUAAUUGGAUUGGGUUAAAUAAAUCAAUGACAGCAUAAAAUGAACACAGGGUUUGUGAAAAAUGUGAUAUUUUCAAUGACUAUAUUAAUAAAUCUUUAUUUUUUGAGUAGUUAGAUUUUUGCACAAAGCUUACCUUCCUCAACUGAUAGCUGCAUUGAUCUUUUGUCUAGCUCAACGGCGUGUCUGCUAAGCUCAGAUGGUGAUAAUUGACGAAGCGCUGGCAACAUGAUGAACGAAGAGCAUUUUCAGUGCUGGCAAAACUAAAGGCAGAAAAAUUGUAUGAAAUUUUUUAAAUUGAAAGAGCAGUGCCAUAAUAAAAUGACCUACUCUGGAUCUAUUCUCUCUGAUCAGAAUCAUCAAAUUGCUUCAAGAGGUUCUUGAAAUGUAGAAACCCUUCUGUCCUUUGCUCAUCAUGGUUCUUCUCAGAACCAACCAAGUGAGGAACCAGAGAUUCAGGAGUGAAUCUAAGUUGCCUGGAAUGAGCAGCUGGCAAUCCAUUGGAACAGGUGGUUUACCAGGUGAAAAAUCUACCGGAGAAGCCAAGGGCAUUGGUGCGAACGCAGAUGUCUCAUGUUCCUGCUUCUUGGUUCUGUCUCUAGGUAGGUCUUGCUGCUUUUGCAAACAAUAUCGUUUGAAAUUGAGAGAGUAAGUAUUUUGUUCUCACACCUUUAACUCUUCGCUUGCCUAAUGCUGAAUCUAACUUCCUCGCACUACCACCAUGCAUGAGCUGAUCACUUGCACUGCUGAUGCUCGUGAAUUGGUGACAAGGGGAGCUCCGUGGCAACUCAGGGUUGAGUAUCUUAGUUCCCAAAACCUUAAUGGGAUGCGCGACUGGUCGUCCUAGAAAAACAUACUUGUUAGGGUUAGAGGUCCAUCGGAGUAGUCAUUAGCUGCUAAUCAACCCGAGAGAGAGAGAGAGAGAGAGAGAGAGAGAGAGAGAGAGAGAGAGAGAGAGAGAGAGAGAGCAAAGAAGAAAUGUGGGGCGUGUUUUUUUUUUCCUAAUCUUAUAAUUAAGCGUGUGUUUUCUAAAUCGGGGCAUGUGAGUUGUAUUAGUCGGGUAAUGAGAGUAUUAAAAACUUUCGUUUAAUAUAAUUCAGUAAUUAAGUAAUACAAGUUGACAUCAAACAAAUGACAUUGACUAUUUACUCAUAUCCAUAGUCUAAUACCAUGUACCAAACAUACCUAUACGAGCUUUUGCCACAUGACUCAUCUAACAUGACAAUCCAAGUCCACAAACACAAGCAUACACACUAAGACAGGACACUCAUAUGCAUGUGAACUACAAGAACGACUGCAUAAUAUCUUGUAUAGAAACAAGACAAUACAACCGGCGCUUAUUACAUUGGAACUACAGUUCACAUUACAUACCAAAUUUAGUAUAACACAGAUAGGAAUUCAAACAUUUGACUUGGCAUAACCCUCAAAUGCUUGGCCUCACAUUGAGACGGGAUAAAAGCUUUUGACCCAGAGACUUAUCUGCCUGCAUUGCCAAUACAAGCACAUAACAUCAGAACAACAUGGCUUAUUCUAAAACUAACCCUUCAUAUUCCAGUAUCACAUCAUCACGUUGCUUAACGGUACAAAUUCACAAAUGCAAUAAUUUAUAAAUAGACUCACCUGAGACCAGUAUGAGAUCCAAAUGCUGCGAAUCUCAUGGGUGACACGAGGGUCUGAUAGGGCAUCCACCCAUCGGCGGAUGAAUCGCUCUUGCCUGCAUGAAGAUGCAAGAUUAAGAACAAUGUUUAAAUACAAUUAUUUUCAUACAGAGACAUCACAGGGUUGCCAGGUACCUGUCUGGCGCCCAAGAUCUGUAUCUCUCUCCAGGUUGCUUAAAGUUGUUCUCCUUCUCAAUGACGCACUGAAUAACCAAAACAAAGUUCCCAUAUGAAUUAUUAUGUGCAGAAAACAAGGAAAAUCCAGAAAUGCAAUCGGUGCAUAUGUAUACACACACACACCUACACUAGUGUAUGUGCCCAGGUGACAGAAAAAGGGACACAGCUGGAAGAAAAGAUGAUGUACAGACGAGACGGGGAAACUAAGGUAUAUUAUUUAAAGCAAUAUUCCUCAAUUGAUAGAAACUGACCUUCUCACGCUUUCCAGAAAGGAUAUUAGAAGGAAUGGGGUAGCGCUCAGCAUGACGAACAGGAUCAUGCCUUGAAGGGAAGUAAUUAACCUGAAAAUAACAGUAUAGCAACUCAUCAGAGAAAACUCAAAUGAAUAAACAUGCAUACAAUUGGAGUUGUCCUCCCAGAAUAUUGAGCAAUCGAAGUAUACAAGGGCCAAAGCGAUUCCAUAUGAGACAUAACAAUUGAGUAAAAUAAUAAUACCUCCUCAUCCCUGUGCAUGAAAUUCAUGAAUCCCUCAUGAUGAUUGUUAUGAUGAGGACACUUGGGAGCAUUCACUGGGAGCUGCAGAUAGUUCGGGCCAAGACGGUGCCUCUGAGUAUCAGAAUAUGCGAAGAUUCGAGUUUGGAGCAUCUUAUCAUCUGAAUAGUAGAUACCAGGGACAACAUGGGCAGGGUUAAACGCAAGUUGUUCAUUCUCUGCAAAGAAGUUAUCGAUGUUUUUAUUCAGAACCAAACGGCCAACUGGCUGCAGGGGAAGGAUAUCUUCAGGCCAGGUCUUAGUUAAGUCAAGAGGGUCAAAGUCAAAUCUGUCCUCGUGAUCAGGAUCCAUUGUCUGAAUAUAAAGUUUCCACUCAGGGUAGUUGCCAGCUGCAAUGGAAUCAUAGAGGUCCUUGGUAGCAUGGCUGUGAUUAGCUCCUCCAACCUUAAUAGCUUCAUCCUCCAACAAACACUUGACUCCACAAGUAGGUUUCCAAUGAAAUUUCACAUAGUGUACUUUCCCUGCCUUACUGAUGAGGGUAUAGGCGUGAACACUAGAGCCUUCCAUGUGCCUGUAAUCUUGUGGAACUCCCAGAUCAUCAUAAAAGAAGGCGAACGUGUGCAGGCUUUCUGGAAGGUGGGAGAAGAAGUCAAGGAUCCUCCAAGUCUCUUGGAUGUGCGACUUGGGGUUCGGUUUGAAAGCACGGAUCGCGUCCGGGAAUUUCAUUGCAUCACGGACAAAAAAGACGGGGAAAUUGUUUCCAACCAG
rnacentral:lncRNA from 1 species